rnacentral:rRNA from 1 species
GACGAACGCUGGCGGCAGGCCUAACACAUGCAAGUCGAGCGCCCCGCAAGGGGAGCGGCGGACGGGUGAGUAACGCGUGGGAACGUACCCUUUGCUACGGAAUAGCCUCGGGAAACUGGGAGUAAUACCGUAUGUGCCCUUCGGGGGAAAGAUUUAUCGGCAAAGGAUCGGCCCGCGUUGGAUUAGGUAGUUGGUGGGGUAAUGGCCUACCAAGCCGACGAUCCAUAGCUGGCUUGAGAGGAUGAUCAGCCACACUGGGACUGAGACACGGCCCAGACUCCUACGGGAGGCAGCAGUGGGGAAUCUUAGACAAUGGGCGCAAGCCUGAUCUAGCCAUGCCGCGUGAGCGAUGAAGGCCUUAGGGUUGUAAAGCUCUUUCGUGGGGGAAGAUAAUGACGGUAUCCGGAGAAGAAGCCCCGGCUAACUUCGUGCCAGCCGCCGCUGUAAAAC